AGAGCGAAUGGUGGAUGCCUUGACUGGUAAAGGCGAUGAAGGACGUACUAGACUGCGAUAAGCUACGGGGAGCUGUCAAGAAGCUUUGAUCCGUAGAUUUCCGAAUGGGGCAACCCAAUGUAUAGAGAUAUACAUUACCUAUAUAGGAGCGAACGAGGGGAAUUGAAACAUCUUAGUACCCUCAGGAAAAGAAAUCAAUAGAGAUUGCGUCAGUAGCGGCGAGCGAAAGCGCAAGAGGGCAAACCCAGUGCUUGCACUGGGGGUUGUAGGACUGCAAUGUGCAAGAGGUAAGUUUAGCAGAACAUUCUGGAAAGUAUAACCAUAGAGGGUGAUAGUCCCGUAUGCGAAAAACAAACCUUAGCUAGCAGUAUCCUGAGUAGGGCGGGACACGAGGAAUCCUGUCUGAAUCCGGGUCGACCACGAUCCAACCCUAAAUACUAAUACCAGAUCGAUAGUGCACAAGUACCGUGAGGGAAAGGUGAAAAGAACUGAGGUGAUCAGAGUGAAAUAGAACCUGAAACCAUUUGCUUACAAUCAUUCAGAGCCCUAUGUAGCAAUACAGGGUGAUGGACUGCCUUUUGCAUAAUGAGCCUGCGAGUUGUGGUGUCUGGCAAGGUUAAGCAAACGCGAAGCCGUAGCGAAAGCGAGUCUGAAUAGGGCGCUUAGUCAGAUGCUGCAGACCCGAAACGAAGUGAUCUAUCCAUGAGCAAGUUGAAGCUAGUGUAAGAACUAGUGGAGGACUGAACCCAUAGGCGUUGAAAAGCCCCGGGAUGACUUGUGGAUAGGGGUGAAAGGCCAAUCAAACUUCGUGAUAGCUGGUUCUCUCCGAAAUAUAUUUAGGUAUAGCGUUGUGUCGUAAUAUAAGGGGGUAGAGCACUGAAUGGGCUAGGGCAUACACCAAUGUACCAAACCCUAUCAAACUCCGAAUACCUUAUAUGUAAUCACAGCAGUCAGGCGGCGAGUGAUAAAAUCCGUCGUCAAGAGGGAAACAACCCAGACUACCAGCUAAGGUCCCUAAAUCUUACUUAAGUGGAAAACGAUGUGAAGUUACUUAAACAACCAGGAGGUUGGCUUAGAAGCAGCCAUCCUUUAAAGAAAGCGUAAUAGCUCACUGGUCUAGUGAUUUUGCGCGGAAAAUAUAACGGGGCUAAAGUAAGUACCGAAGCUGUAGACUUGCACACAACUUAGAUUAUUUAAGUUUAGAAUAUGAGAAACUAAGUUAUAUGUUUAGUUAUAUUUUUACUGAUUUUUAUAGAGUAAAGAUAGAAAUAAAACUUAGUAAAAUCAGUAAAAAUAUUCUUAGGCUAAAGUUAAGUAGUUUAAGUUGUGUGCAAGUGGUAGGAGAGCGUUCUAUUUGCGUCGAAGGUAUACCGGUAAGGAGUGCUGGAGCGAAUAGAAGUGAGCAUGCAGGCAUGAGUAGCGAUAAUUAAUGUGAGAAUCAUUAACGCCGUAAACCCAAGGUUUCCUACGCGAUGCUCGUCAUCGUAGGGUUAGUCGGGUCCUAAGUCGAGUCCGAAAGGGGUAGACGAUGGCAAAUUGGUUAAUAUUCCAAUACCAACAUUAGUGUGCGAUGGAAGGACGCUUAGGGCUAAGGGGGCUAGCGGAUGGAAGUGCUAGUCUAAGGUCGUAGGAGGUUAUACAGGCAAAUCCGUAUAACAAUACUCCGAGAACUGAAAGGCUUUUUGAAGUCUUCGGAUGGAUAGAAGAACCCCUGAUGCCGUCGAGCCAAGAAAAGUUUCUAAGUUUAGCUAAUGUUGCCCGUACCGUAAACCGACACAGGUGGGUGGGAUGAGUAUUCUAAGGCGCGUGGAAGAACUCUCUUUAAGGAACUCUGCAAAAUAGCACCGUAUCUUCGGUAUAAGGUGUGGUUAGCUUCGUACUAGGAUUUACUCCGAAAGCGAAGAAACUUACAACAAAGAGUCCCUCCCGACUGUUUACCAAAAACACAGCACUCUGCUAACUCGUAAGAGGAUGUAUAGGGUGUGACGCCUGCCCGGUGCUCGAAGGUUAAUUGAUGGGGUUAGCAUUAGCGAAGCUCUUGAUCGAAGCCCGAGUAAACGGCGGCCGUAACUAUAACGGUCCUAAGGUAGCGAAAUUCCUUGUCGGUUAAAUACCGACCUGCAUGAAUGGCGUAACGAGAUGGGAGCUGUCUCAAAGAGGGAUCCAGUGAAAUUGUAGUGGAGGUGAAAAUUCCUCCUACCCGCGGCAAGACGGAAAGACCCCGUGGACCUUUACUACAGCUUGACACUGCUACUUGGAUAAGAAUGUGCAGGAUAGGUGGGAGGCUUUGAGUAUAUGACGCCAGUUGUAUAUGAGCCAUUGUUGAGAUACCACUCUUUCUUAUUUGGGUAGCUAACCAGCUUGAGUUAUCCUCAAGUGGGACAAUGUCUGGUGGGUAGUUUGACUGGGGCGGUCGCCUCCCAAAUAAUAACGGAGGCUUACAAAGGUUGGCUCAGAACGGUUGGAAAUCGUUCGUAGAGUAUAAAGGUAUAAGCCAGCUUAACUGCAAGACAUACAAGUCAAGCAGAGACGAAAGUCGGUCUUAGUGAUCCGGUGGUUCUGUGUGGAAGGGCCAUCGCUCAAAGGAUAAAAGGUACCCCGGGGAUAACAGGCUGAUCUCCCCCAAGAGCUCACAUCGACGGGGAGGUUUGGCACCUCGAUGUCGGCUCAUCGCAUCCUGGGGCUGGAGCAGGUCCCAAGGGUAUGGCUGUUCGCCAUUUAAAGCGGUACGCGAGCUGGGUUCAGAACGUCGUGAGACAGUUCGGUCCCUAUCUGCCGUGGGCGUAAGAAGAUUGAAGAGAUUUGACCCUAGUACGAGAGGACCGGGUUGAACAAACCACUGGUGUAGCUGUUGUUCUGCCAAGAGCAUCGCAGCGUAGCUAAGUUUGGAAAGGAUAAACGCUGAAAGCAUCUAAGCGUGAAGCCAACUCUAAGAUGAAUCUUCUCUAAGCUCUCUAGAAGACUACUAGUUUGAUAGGCUGGGUGUGUAAUGGAUGAAAGUCCUUUAGCUGACCAGUACUAAUAGAGCGUUUGGCUUAUCU
rnacentral:rRNA from 1 species